rnacentral:rRNA from 1 species
GAUGAACGCUGGCGGCGCGCUUAACACAUGCAAGUCGAACGAUUAAAGCACCUUCGGGGGUGAAUAAAGUGGCGAACGGCUGAGUAACACGUGGGCAACCUGCCCUGCUCAUUGGGAUAGCCCCGGGAAACCGUGGAUAAUACCGAAUACUUCCGGACUUCCGCAUGGAAGAUUGGAGAAAGUUUCGGUGGAGAGGGAUGGGCCCGCGGCCUGUUAGCUUGUUGGGGGGGUAAUGUCCUACAAAGGCAACGCUGGGCAGCUGGGUUGAGGGGUAGACCAGCCCAUUUGGGACUGGAAAAGGGCCCAACUCCCUCGGGAAGCAAGCAGUGGGAAAUUUUCACAAAUGGGCGAAGGCCUAAUGCGCCGCGGCCGCGUGCGGAAUGAAGGCUUUCGGUUUGUAACCCGUUUUCCGCAGGAACGAGGCGUAUGUGACGGUACCUGCAGAAGAAGCACCGGCUAACUACGUG